ACUAAAGCUUGUAGACUUCGGUCUGCUACCUCUUACCCAUGUCUUUUGAGUACCUUCGUUUCCUCGGCGGGUCCGCCCGCCGAUUGGACAACAUUCAAACCCUUUGCAGUUGCAAUCAGCGUCUGAAAAAACAUAAUAGUUACAACUUUCAACAACGGAUCUCUUGGUUCUGGCAUCGAUGAAGAACGCAGCGAAAUGCGAUAAGUAGUGUGAAUUGCAGAAUUCAGUGAAUCAUCGAAUCUUUGAACGCACAUUGCGCCCCUUGGUAUUCCAUGGGGCAUGCCUGUUCGAGCGUCAUUUGUACCUUCAAGCUCUGCUUGGUGUUGGGUGUUUUGUCUCGCCUCUGCGUGUAGACUCGCCUUAAAACAAUUGGCAGCCGGCGUAUUGAUUUCGGAGCGCAGUACAUCUCGCGCUUUGCACUCAUAACGGCGACGUCCAAAAGUACAUUUUUACACUCUUGACCUCGGAUCAGGUAGGGAUACCCGCUGAACUUAAGCAUAUCAAAAACCGGGGGAAGGGGAUCAUUACCUAGAGUUUUGUAGACUUGGUCUGCUACCUCUUACCCAUGUCUUUUGAGUACCUUCGUUUCCUCGGCGGGUCCGCCCGCGAUUGGACAACAUUCAAACCUUUGCAGUUGCAAUCAGCUCGGAAAAAAACAUAAAUAGUUUACAACUUUCACGAGGGAAUUCUGUGGUUGUCUGCCAUCAAUGAAGACACGCAGCGAAAAUGGCGAUAAGUAGUGUGAAAUUGCGAAAUCGCUGGAUCAUCAAAUCUUUGAACGCACAUUGCGCCCUCUGGUAUUCAUGGGGCAUGCUGUUGAGGUCAUUGUACUUCAGCUCUGCUUGAUGUGGUGUUUGUCUCGCUCUGCUGUAGACUCCUAAACAUGGCAGCGGCGUAUGAUUCGAGCCAUACAUCUCGCUUGCCUCAGA
rnacentral:rRNA from 1 species